CAAACACACACACACUGCAUUAUAUACACACUAUACAAACACUGUGUAUAUAAUGCAGUGUGUGUUUGUGUA
rnacentral:miRNA from 1 species